rnacentral:rRNA from 1 species
AUGCACAGGCACACCGUGCCUUUGCCGCCGUCCGCCAGCACGCCACUGGCCGACAGGAGCAGCCACAGCCACGCGGCCACGGCGAGCUGGACCGCCGGCGACGGGUUCGUGCAGUCCCGCGAGGACCGCGCCAUGUGGGAUGCCGAGACGACGUUGUUAAAGAAGGAGUCUCCGACUACCUCACGCCCGCCGCUGGCCUGCACAUCAGGUCGCCGAGCCCGUACGCCGGUGUGA